GAUGUAAGAACAGAGCUGCCUCCUUCUCUGUGUCCUCAGAGGCUUUCUGCUCCUGUUGUAGCAGAGCCAGCCCUGUGAAGAAUCUGAGAACAUGAAGGCAACACAGCUGCUCUUGUAAGUGACACAGAAAAGGAAAUGCAAGAUUUCACCUCUUCAAGUCAAUACCUGAGCUCCAGUUUGAACAAAAGGUUGCUUUUAGGUUUCUAAAACCUAAAAGCAGGUAUUACUAAAUCUACAGACGCACUAGAAAGUCUGCUUUUACUACAAACAACACUUCCAUGUCCUGACCUGAGGGCAGGAUGCAGCGGGCGCAGUGCCAGGGUGCUCUGGAGCGGAGGCUGUACUCGCAGCUGUCAGGACUCAGAGACCAGGCAUCCAGGUACUUCAUCAGGGCCCGGUGGACACAGCUCUCUUCAUCCCUCACGGCUGCUCUGCUGUCCUGCAACAAGAGGCGAGGCAGUAACACUUCAUCUGCAAAUAAUUGGUGCUUUUAUCCCAACAGCAUAGAACAAUACAAGCAAUUUACAAAAAGGAUGUCAGUACCUCCUAUCAAGUCAGUCAUACUGCGCUCCUACUACACUACUUAUGGCACGGUUACCUUGCCAGAUUUCUUGGAGAGCCAGAUGUAGAGAGUCUGAACAUAGUCUGCUCUGCUGGACUGUCCCUGCUCUCUGAGCUGCUGAUACUCUUUAUCCAAGGCCUGCAGCUGCUUCUCCACCGUGGGCGUGCCGAGGAAACCAUGGAGCUUGCACACAGCCAGGAUGUCAUCCUGACGGGCCGUUGAUUUGGCAUCGCUUGAUUCAUCUCCGUCUCUGUCAGCCUGGAUAUGAACAGCUGCACAAUUCACUGUUCUCAAACUCCGGAUCCUUUAAGGCCACCCUUGAUCGCUGAUGCAUAGUGGACAGCAUCCUGCUGCAGGCCAUGCAGAGGAGACUGAUCCUGUCACUGCAACACAUCGCCUGUGGAAAUGUGCGAAACAAACACUAAGAUCUAUACGCACGUCAGACUACAGGAUCAGAGAGUAUUUGCAUAUAUUUGUGAGAUGAUUAGCAUAAAUAUAGACCUGGAAAACAGCAUUUCACUGACUGUAUUACCUGCUUUGUAUUACAGGUUUGAAUUUACUUUACUUUAUAAACCCUUCAUAUACUGUAUCAUGCCUGUCAUGCAUAAAAGAAACCCUGACAUUGAAAUUGAGGCUUAUUAAAUAGUGGAAAUAACUUUCUAAUUUAGUGAAUCAAUGAACAGCAGCGAUGCAAACCUGGUGGGGAGGUUUUGCUCAAAAAACUCAAGGCUGGAAAGCCGGCAACAAAUUAAUUAUUGAGUGUUUAGUAUUGAUAAAUACUAAACAAACCUUUAAAAUCUCACUACUGCACUUUUAACUGUAUGAAAAUGUAAGAAAAACAAACUAUGUGCCUGCCACAAAAGGCCCAGAGUCAUUUAAGAUACUUGAUAUUUGGUAAAAUAAAUAAAAUAAGAUGACAAACUGAAUUAGGCCGCAGACACCACAUGACAGACGCUGUGGA